GAACGAUGAACCACCUUCGGGUGGGGAUUAGUGGCGAACGGGUGAGUAACACGUGGGCAAUCUGCCCUGCACUCUGGGACAAGCCCUGGAAACGGGGUCUAAUACCGGAUACUGAACCACUUGGGCAUCCUGGUGGUUCGAAAGCUCCGGCGGUGCAGGAUGAGCCCGCGGCCUAUCAGCUUGUUGGUGAGGUAACGGCUCACCAAGGCGACGACGGGUAGCCGGCCUGAGAGGGCGACCGGCCACACUGGGACUGAGACACGGCCCAGACUCCUACGGGAGGCAGCAGUGGGGAAUAUUGCACAAUGGGCGAAAGCCUGAUGCAGCGACGCCGCGUGAGGGAUGACGGCCUUCGGGUUGUAAACCUCUUUCAGCAGGGAAGAAGCGAGAGUGACGGUACCUGCAGAAGAAGCGCCGGCUAACUACGUGCCAGCAGCCGCGGUAAUACGUAGGGCGCGAGCGUUGUCCGGAAUUAUUGGGCGUAAAGAGCUCGUAGGCGGCUUGUCGCGUCGGUUGUGAAAGCCCGGGGCUUAACCCCGGGUCUGCAGUCGAUACGGGCAGGCUAGAGUUCGGUAGGGGAGAUCGGAAUUCCUGGUGUAGCGGUGAAAUGCGCAGAUAUCAGGAGGAACACCGGUGGCGAAGGCGGAUCUCUGGGCCGAUACUGACGCUGAGGAGCGAAAGCGUGGGGAGCGAACAGGAUUAGAUACCCUGGUAGUCCACGCCGUAAACGGUGGGCACUAGGUGUGGGCGACAUUCCACGUCGUCCGUGCCGCAGCUAACGCAUUAA
rnacentral:rRNA from 1 species